CACAGAAUCACAGAACGGCCCGGGUUGGAAGGGACCUCAAGGAUCAUGAAUCUCCAACCCCCGCACCACAGGCAGGCCAGCCUGCACAUUUAAUAGUAGACCGGGCUGCCCAGGGGCCCAUCCAACCUGGCCUCGAACACCUCCAGGAACAGGGCAUCCACAACAAUCUCACUUAAACAAAGCAUGGAAGCGCCUCACCAGGAUUCUAUGGUGGGAAUGGAAUGUUUCCCGUGGCAGGGAGAUCCCUGGGGAAUGGAUACAGAAAUCUGGUGCAUGCUACUGGCUGGCUGCCUUCAUUCAGAGCACAAGUGGCUGUACUUGCCUAGGAACAAAAUGCUGCAAAAUGGUGAAUGAGCAUGUGAUGAAGGAAAGAAACAGCUUUAUCACACCCCAAAGUUGGCUUGCUGGCGAAUUCAUGGAAGUAACAAGGACAGAACCAGAUUGCCACUCCCUUGGCAGCUUCCUGGCCACAGAGGUGAACCUUCCAGGGAAUGUCUUUCCAGUGGCUCUUACCUGUGGCUGAGGCUCCAGAUGGGACACCCUGUACACUUCUGCCCUUGUUCUCUCCUGAAUCUUCUGUGCUUGUUCCUGCUCAGGCUACACUGCACUGCAAAUAUUUGCUAGCUCACACAGAAGUCAGACAUUGGUUGUCCCAAGCCUUCCUGGAAGAUGCCUUUCAAAACCGAUUUUGUUCCAUAUCCGCUUUGAGCUGUGUAGAAGAAAAGCUAUACAGAGAGAGAGCUGAGCCUGGCAGAGCUGGCUGCUUGAGACGGAUCCUUUGCAGCACAGGAAUAAAUGAUUCUGUCACUCCCAGGAAACAGAGCCCUGGGUCCAAACUGUCGUCUUCAAAAAGACUUGGAUUUAUCUGUUUAUAGCAUGAGAGAACUCAGAAGCAACUGAAG
ensembl:lncRNA